rnacentral:rRNA from 1 species
UACGGAGGAUCCUAGUGUUAUCCGGAUUUAUUGGGUUUAAAGGGAGCGUAGGCGGGAGGUCAAGUCAGCUGUGAAAUGUAUCUGCUUAACGGGUACACUGCAGUUGAAACUGGUUUUCUUGAGUGCGUAAGAGGCAGGCGGAAUUCGUUGUGUAGCGGUGAAAUGCUUAGAUAUGACGAGGGACUCCUAUUGCGAAGGCAGCUUGCUGGGUCGUUACUGACGCUGAUGCUCGAAGGUGCGGGGAUCAAACAGGAUUAGAUA